AGCGAAGCACUUAAAAUGGAUUCUUCGGAUGAAGCUUUAUGUGACUGAGCGGCGGACGGGUGAGUAACGCGUGGGCAACCUGCCUUACACAGGGGGAUAACAGUUAGAAAUGACUGCUAAUACCGCAUAAGACCACAGGACUGCAUGGUCCGGUGGUAAAAACUCCGGUGGUGUAAGAUGGGCCCGCGUCUGAUUAGGUAGUUGGCGGGGUAACGGCCCACCAAGCCGACGAUCAGUAGCCGACCUGAGAGGGUGACCGGCCACAUUGGGACUGAGACACGGCCCAGACUCCUACGGGAGGCAGCAGUGGGGAAUAUUGCACAAUGGGGGAAACCCUGAUGCAGCGACGCCGCGUGAGCGAUGAAGUAUUUCGGUAUGUAAAGCUCUAUCAGCAGGGAAGAAAAUGACGGUACCUGACUAAGAAGCCCCGGCUAACUACGUGCCAGCAGCCGCGGUAAUACGUAGGGGGCAAGCGUUAUCCGGAUUUACUGGGUGUAAAGGGAGCGUAGACGGCGGUGCAAGCCAGAUGUGAAAGCCCGGGGCUCAACCCCGGGACUGCAUUUGGAACUGUGCUGCUAGAGUGUCGGAGAGGCAGGCGGAAUUCCUAGUGUAGCGGUGAAAUGCGCA
rnacentral:rRNA from 1 species